GAGAGUUUGAUCCUGGCUCAGAAUGAACGUUAGCGGCGUGCCUGAUGCAUGCAAGUCGAACGCUCUGAUAAUCCGCAAGGGUUAUCAGGGAGUGGCGAACGGCUGAGUAACGCGUAAGUGACCUACCUUGGAGUGGGGGAUAACUUGCCGAAAGGCAAGCUAAUACCGCAUGUGCUAGUAAGUUAAAUCACAUUCAUUAGCAAAGCCUUAGGGCGCUCUAAGAGGGGCUUGCGUCUGAUUAGCUAGUUGGUAGGGUAAUGGCCUACCAAGGCGAUGAUCAGUAGCUGGUCUGAGAGGACAACCAGCCAGACGGGGACUGAGACACGGCCCUGACUCCUACGGGAGGCAGCAGCAAGG
rnacentral:rRNA from 1 species